GCCAGCAUGGUGUAGUGGUUUGAGCAUUGGAUUACUACUCUGAAGAUCAGGGUUCAAUUUCCUGCUUGGCC